AUUCUAAUUAUGUGAAUUAAUGAAUUAUGUGCUUUAGUCCAUGGAUUUUAAUGAUGUGCUUUAAUUGAUAAUUAAUCUAGGAUUGAGAUGAUGUGAUUAAUUGGUAUCCUAAUUAUAAUUUAUGAAUUAUAUGUUUUAGUGUGUGUGUAUUGGCCGUGUGUUGUGUGUGAGGGGAAAGUGGAUUUCUCCCUAAGUUUAUUAAUUAUUAAGGACUCCCCUCUUCUCUUCUAUAUUGCUAAGAAGCCCCAAGGUAUGUUCUCCCAAAUUGCUAAUAAAACCCCAAUGUCUUUUAUAUUGCAAAUAAGGGCCUCAUCUCCCCUAUAAAUAAACCCCUCCUCUUCACAUUCUCUUCACACCAAAAACAUCAGCCAAAAGGCCCUCUCCCCUCCCUCUCCUCUCCCUCUCCAUCGAUCAAAAACAGCCCCAAAGAAGAAUUCUCUUCUUCCAUCACCCCAUCAAAGCCCCUCUCUCCUUCCUCUCUUCAAUUCCUCUCCAAGAGAAACUCCCUCUUCAAUUAUGCUAAAAACCUUCAAGAAACAGCCCCUUCACAUCCUUCAACUCAGCCCCAAAGCCAUCCAAAAACAUCCAAGCCAAACCCGCCGAAAAUCCACCGAGCCUUUGGUUUUCUUACUCCUUCAUCUUCGAUUUCUUACUCUUGGGUUCUCCAAGCUAUUUAGGAAACCGGCGGAGUGGAGUUCGAGGAAUCACGAGCCUUGGUGCCUAGAUUAUUUUACUCGUAUUUUCUACGCAACGUUUUAUCGAAAAAUUAAUCAUGUAGUAUAAUCUUAUUUUGUACUCUGAUUGGAACCCAGUCUAUUAAACGGGGGUAUCUUAAAUAAAGUUUAUUUCCUUCCGCUGUCUUAC